CACCUGGAAAGUGAUAAAGCUGAGGUGUAGGAAGAGACCACUAGCUGUGAAAUGUCUACACCGCGGGUCAGAACGAGAUCCAGCGUGUUUCCACCGAUGUGGGUUGGGUGCUGGACGAGCUGUUUGAAGCCAAGCGUAUCUGUAAUGGACAGAAAAGCCCUUGCGAGGGCAUCAGAUGGGUUAUUCACAUGAAUGUUGAAAUCCCCAAUAAGCAAAAUAUUGUCUGAGUAUGUAGCCAGAUCAGCUGCAAAGUCCGAAAACUCAUCCACAAAAGGUGAAUACGGUCCUAAGGGACGGUAUACUACAGCUAAAACGAAAGAGUCUGGAACUCCUUUCGCUUCUCGGGUAGCUGAGGUGCAGAGCGCAAGCACCUCAAAGGAUCUAAAUAUAUAUCUAUUCUUUGGCUUUAAAUUAAGCUUAGAAUUAGAUAUCAGGGCUACUCCACCACCUUUCUUAACUUCUCUAGAUACUUGGGUGCUAACCUAAUGGGGUGGAGUAGCUUCGUUUAGGGCUAGAAACUCAUCUGGUUUUAACCAGGUUUCACAAAGGCUCAGUAUGUCGACCUUUUAAUCAAUAAUUAGAUUAUGGACCAAGAGCGCUUUAGAUGAAAGCGACCUUAAGUUCAUGAACCCUAUUCUGAGUGCUUCCAUUUUAUUAUUUUCAGAGGGAGUUCUGAGGCGAUCAGUGGGUUCGCGAGAGUUCGACAUACUGGUCGCGGGCCUCGCCUGCGGGUUUUACACCUCGAGACAGUGCGAGGCCGCACCACCGUACAUAUAGGUACAGUGUUAAUUUCAGAGGGAGUCCGGUUAAAACUCGGUUCUGAAAGAGUUGUUGACAUGCGAUUUGACAUGCAAUUUUGCACGACCGUACAUAUAGGUACAGCGUUAAUUUCAGAGGGAGUCCGGUUAACACUCAGCUCUGUCAUGCGAUUUGACAUGCAAUUUUGCACCACCGUACAUAUAGGUACAUUGUUAAUUUCAGAGGGAUUCCGGUUAACACUCAGCUCUGAAAAGAUUGGUGCAAUAGAUACUGGUUCAGCUAACCCAUCUGCUGUUCUAGACUCUGCAACGUAAACUAUCAUGUUGCUAGCAGGUUUGCUAAACUCCUGCCGCCCAGCGUGCUGUGAGUGGAUGAGUCACGCCUGGCUAAGACAUCUGUUUUUUGACAUAAUUGAGGCGCCUAACCCAGUAGGGUGUAGGCCGUCUCUCAUGAGCACACCAGGGCGACCCCACAGGGAGGGCAGUUAGAGCCUAGCUAUGUUACUUUUUGUGACCUCAAUUUGUCUUGUCCUAGCAUCGUUUGUGCCGACAUGAACUACAAUGUUAUAGAAACUAGUGUCGGUGUUUGGUGCAUCUAAUCUAACUCCGUAUGUCGGCACCCUAAGAUUAGCUUCAAUGUCGGGAGCCCUGGCCCCAGGUAGGCAAAUAACCUUUGCUGGCGAGUGUAGUCUACCUUUACGUGUAACAGUCACCUAUGACUAGCGUUUUUACCCCCGAAAAGGACUUGCAAGGCAGGGUACUGACAGCAACCUGCCUCGCAAGUGGUGCUGACGACAGGAUUGCCUUGACGGAGUCACUGCUAACGAUAGCGUUAGCUCCACGAGUCCGCCUGGCGGGUCUCUUCUCUAUACUUUCUGGAGUAUCUGUUUUCUUUAUGCUUGCUACCCUUUCAUCCUCUAACUGACAGAUACGUCUCUCUAACAGAGCUAUCUUAUCCAUGAGAAAGGCAGAGCAAGAACAACCGGAAUCCAUGCUUACCGUGGUUGAUGCAGACGGAGCUCCAGCGAGGAAACAGCGAAUACAAUACAGAGUAUGCAGAACAGGUCGCAGAUAUAAAUACCGAAAAAUAGAUACAAACCGAGAUAGCAGGUCGACGCUAAGCUUCCUGCUAAUAAAACCAAACAAACCAAGCCGGCUACCCGGAAGUUGCGUCUGCGGCGUCACACGGCAUUCUCGGGUCAGCCUGUGGAGAGAGAGCACAGGUUACAGAUAUGAGGAGGGCGGGGAUCUCCUGAGACGUAAGCUAAUUUCUGGGGCAAUUAAUCGCCCAGAAAAAUGUAUUAUCGUGACAGGCCUAGGAUUAGCAACCCUGAUAUUAGGGAUGCACUGAAUUUCCGGCCACCGAAAAAAAAUUAUCACCGAAACAAUACGGCCGAAACAGAAAUUUUUGAUGACGUAAACAAGAAGCGCGGCCAGCACACGCUUGUCUGGAUAAGCGCCAAUAUGUCUGCGCUGUGGACGUUUUUCAAUGUUUCUGAGAAAGACCCACGUAUAGCGAUUUGCAAAAAUUGCAAUGCCUUGAUUUUAUUGAAGCUAGUAAACAGUCAUAGCCAAAAAUGCAAUUGUUGUAUUACCAAGUAUAAACGGUAUAAACUUUGAAACUAGGUCAACCGCCAUCUUCUCCGUCAACUCUCGUCUCACACUCGGUGACAGCGUCUGGCAGCGCGCCAAUUCUCGGUGACAGCGUCUUAUAACGUUCUAUAUAUAAUAUAAUUUUAUGUAUAAUAUCACUGCCAAAAGCUCUGUGCGCCUCCGGAUGGUCGUAGCGCGGGGAGCUCUCGUAGGGAUUGGGCUUUGCAGGGGUUGUUUACCGGCGUUGCUAUGGUUACCGGGCUUGCGUGUUCCAACGCUUUAUUAGGUAGCCUAUCCAAUAGGUUUGUAUCCAUUUAUUUUUUUUAUGAAAAAACACAUCAAAAAUAAAACAGUGCUAAGACAAACUGCCGAACUUUUAAC